rnacentral:lncRNA from 1 species
CGGCAGAAUUUUUUUUCUGUGAUUUGAACCCCUUCUCUAUCAGAUCUAAAAUCCACCUUUUAAGAUCUGAAAAUACUAUUGAUGAAGCCUUCAAAAAAUAAAAUAUGAGACUUGAAACUUAUCUUGGAUAGUCAAGAGGGGGCACACAAAUAAGGGGCAUGCACAAGGGGGGGCGUUGGUUUUUAGCACCUCCUUUUUUUCCUUUUUAGGGUGGCGGCCA